rnacentral:lncRNA from 1 species
CUGAUUGUGAGAUGUAGGAGGCGAAGGGCGGAUCUAAUGCAGGUAAAAACAAAGAUGGCAGACAAUGCAAGUUCACUCACAGCCUGUGGGGAAGAGGACACGUGUUUGACCGAGGAACACGGGAAUGGACUCAGGAAAUCGUGAACUGCGUCAUGUGUGUUCGAACUCCAUCUGUUCAGAUCCAGAGGUGUUACAAGGAUCGAGCAGUGGCUUCACUACUGAAAAAUAUCUGACUGCUGCACUGCUGCCGCUGCUGCUGCACAAUUCUUCACCCAUGGCUUCACACAGAUCAAAUUUAACAUGAUUUUCAUAUUGUCUGAUUUCUAUCUCUUUGAGGAGUGGAACGAAUACACGUCGACACAAGCCAGUUCAUCUGUUUGAACGAUCUACGGCGGCUGCCUAGAACAUAUUGCUCAAUGCAUGCUAAAACUGGCUUCGAGAUUAUGAUUAAAAUCCAAUAUUGUGCAUGUUUCCCAUGUUAAAUUUGCAGAAUAACAAUUUUAGAUCUUGAAUUGGCAGCAGAUAAUACAAAUGCAGCCUGUGGGGAAAUAGAGCCAUUUGCUCAGGAAUAGUGCAGGCAGCUCCAGGGUAUGGAACAAAUAUGUGUUUGAAGCUUUUAUAUUUCUGCGCAUGGGUUUGAACAGUAGUGUUACGGGCUAUGAGGAUGCACCGGAGUUCAAACCUUCAAGGUGAAAGCGGGUUUCCGCUCCAAAGUAAAGGCAAAACUGUUCAAACCUAGCAAGGAGGC